CUGCUCCCGGGAGUUCCCCUGAGCACUUCAUUGGGGUUCUUUAGUUAGUUAAGGAUUCGCCAUGUUUUCAAGAAAAUAAUCGAUCCUCACAUGCCCUAUUGAAGUGUUUGGGGGAACUCUUGGAGGCAC
rnacentral:pre_miRNA from 1 species